rnacentral:rRNA from 1 species
GACGAACGCUAGCUACAGGCUUAACACAUGCAAGUCGAGGGGUAACGAGAGGAAAGCUUGCUUUCCUUGUCGACGACCGGCGGACGGGUGAGUAACGCGUAUCCAACCUGCCCCCAACUAGGGAAUAACCUUGCGACAGUAAGCAUACUACCCUAUAAUUUCCUCAGUUGACAUCUGACGCGGAAUACAUAUCUAUCGAUUGUGGAUGGGAAUGCGUCGGAUUAGCUUGUUGGCGGGGUAACGGCCCGCCAAGGCAGCGAUCAGUAGGGGUUCUGAGAGGAAGGUCCCCCACAUUGGAACUGAGACACGGUCCAAACUCCUACGGGAGGCAGCAGUGAGGAAGAUUGGUACAUGGGCGGAAGCCUGAACCAGCCAAGUAGCGUGCAGGAUGACGGCCCUAUGGGUUGUAAACUGCUUUUAUACAGGAAUAAAGUUAGCCACGUGUGGUUAUUUGUAGGUACUGUAUGAAUAAGGACCGGCUAAUUCCGUGCCAGCCGCCGCGGUA